AAAAAAGGGAGCUUGCUCCCGGAUGUUAGCGGCGGACGGGUGAGUAACACGUGGGUAACCUGCCUGUAAGACUGGGAUAACUCCGGGAAACCGGAGCUAAUACCGGAUAGUUCCUUGAACCGCAUGGUUCAAGGAUGAAAGACGGUUUCGGCUGUCACUUACAGAUGGACCCGCGGCGCAUUAGCUAGUUGGUGGGGUAAUGGCUCACCAAGGCGACGAUGCGUAGCCGACCUGAGAGGGUGAUCGGCCACACUGGGACUGAGACACGGCCCAGACUCCUACGGGAGGCAGCAGUAGGGAAUCUUCCGCAAUGGACGAAAGUCUGACGGAGCAACGCCGCGUGAGUGAUGAAGGUUUUCGGAUCGUAAAGCUCUGUUGUUAGGGAAGAACAAGUGCGAGAGUAACUGCUCGCACCUUGACGGUACCUAACCAGAAAGCCACGGCUAACUACGUGCCAGCAGCCGCGGUAAUACGUAGGUGGCAAGCGUUGUCCGGAAUUAUUGGGCGUAAAGGGCUCGCAGGCGGUUUCUUAAGUCUGAUGUGAAAGCCCCCGGCUCAACCGGGGAGGGUCAUUGGAAACUGGGAAACUUGAGUGCAGAAGAGGAGAGUGGAAUUCCACGUGUAGCGGUGAAAUGCGUAGAGAUGUGGAGGAACACCAGUGGUCGAAGGCGACUCUCUGGUCUGUUACUGACGCUGAAGGACGAAAGAGGGGGAGCGAAAAGGAUUUAAUACCCUG
rnacentral:rRNA from 1 species